GUGCCAGCCGCCGCGGUAAUACGUAUGGGGCAAGCGUUGUUCGGAGUUAUUGGGCGUAAAGGGCGUGUAGGCGGCUCAUCAAGUCUGGUGUGAAAUCGGCAGGCUCAACCUGUCAUAUGCGCUGGAAACUGGUGGGCUAGAGUUCUUGAGGGGAAGCUGGAAUUCCAGGUGUAGGGGUGAAAUCUGUAGAUAUCUGGAAGAACACCGGUGGCGAAGGCGAGCUUCUAUCAGAGGACUGACGCUGAGGCGCGAAAGCGUGGGGAGCAAACAGGAUUAGAUACCCUGGUAGUCCACGCUGUAAACGAUGUGCACUAGGCGUGGGGCACGUACGUGCUCUGUGCCGUAGCAAACGCGAUAAGUGCACCGCCUGGGGAGUAUGCUCGCAAGGGUGAAACUUAAAUGAAUUGGCGGGG
rnacentral:rRNA from 1 species